rnacentral:rRNA from 1 species
GACGAACGCUGGCGGCGUGCUUAACACAUGCAAGUCGAACGGAAAGGCCCUGCUUUUGUGUGGUGCUCGCGUGGCGAACGGGUGAGUAACACGUGAGUAACCUGCCCUUGACUUUGGGAUAACUUCAGGAAACUGUGUCUAAUACCGGAUAGGAGCUCCUGCUGCAUGGUGGGGGUUGGAAAGUUUCGUCCGUUGGCGAUGGACUCGCGACUUAUCAGCUUGUUGGUUGGGUAGUGGCUUACUAAGGCUUUGACGGUUAGCCGCCCUGAAAGGGUGACCGGCCUCAUUGGGAUAAAGCCACGCCCCAGCCUCCUAUGGGCGGCAGCAGUGGGGAAAAUUGCACAACGGGCCGAAGUCUGAUGCAGCCACGCCGCCUGUGUAAUGACGACUUUCCGGCUGAAGCCCGCUUUCCCAUGAUACGAAGCCUGUGUGAUCGUAAUGGGUAGAGAAGGCCCGGCUAAAUCCGUG